CCACGACGACCCCGCGCACGCCCUCGUCGCCGCCCUUGUCGACAACAACGCCCUCGAGCUUCUCGCCCGCCUUUCGGAGGCCGACCCCGACGAGAUUCUUCUCCCUCGCCGGUGACGAAGAAGAGGGAAGAGGAAGAGGAAGAAAGAAGAAGGAAGAAGAAGGGAAAAGAGGAAGAGGGAAGAGGAAAAGUAAGAGGGUUCGUCGUCGCCGCCGCCGUCACCGCCGCCGCCGCAUCUCCUCGCCGGCGACGAAGAAGAAGGAAGAGGAAGAGGAUGAAGAGGAAGAAGGGUAAAUACGUCAAUUUACACUAUAAUUAACCAUGGUUAAGUAUUUUAACCGUGGUUAACGAAAAAUUUCUAACAGAUCUGGACGGCAGGGACAUAUCUGCAUAACUUAGGACUUUUGCAGGGACAACUUAUAGAGUUUCCGUUU
rnacentral:lncRNA from 1 species